AAUAUCAAAUGCAUGAGUUUUGCUUGUUUGUAAACUUGCAAACGAAGUUUCGCUCGAGGCGUUUGCCGCAUGUAUUUAUUGCCGCAUCUAUAUUUUUCGUUUUCAAUAUUCUGCCGUACUAUGUACCUGUGACUCUAUUCGAAAUUUAGUUGAACAAUAACCAAUAUUUAGCUUUGCUAUCUUUUUUAGUAUUUGAAUAAUAUGUUUGCAUAUGGUUAUUUGACUUGCAAUUGUAUGAAACGGCGCCAUGUAGGAAUUUAGAGGAAUUAUAAAGUUCAUCCGUAUUUAUUACAAUACGAAUUCUCGUGGAUUUGGGAAAUUUUUCAUGGAUUUCUUUACUAGACUUACUCGUUUUUUUGGAACUUUGAAAGACGUUUUAGUAAUUUGGAGGCUGUUUUGUAUAUGACAAUGACUGCAGCCUGCAGUAAAAGUGCACGCGCGAGAUCUCAGAAUAACAGUAUUAUUAAGUAAGCCCCCUUGAUGAGUGUGUACGCUCUUGGGGCAAACUCAUUCUCAUCAGAAAUAUGUUUAAAUAAAGUAGCUAAUAUAUUAUAUGUAUUGCUAGAAAUUCCCAAAACAUUCAUUUGUCAUUGAAAACGUUAACAACCAACAAGCAGGAUGAUGUCAUAUAAAUGUAGAGCACGAGCAAAACGUCCAUGUUCCUUCGAUCAACGGCAGUAAAUAAAUAUUGUAUUUAAUAUAUUAAAUUAAGGACUGUGUUACUGUUGAAGUUAUAACAUGAACGUUUUGCCUAGUGGCUAGUGCUUUAUAUAUACGACACCAGCUUGUUGAUUUGGUUGUCAACGUUUUCAAUGACAAAUGAAUGUUUUGGGAAUUUCUAGCAAUACAUAUAAUUUAUUAGCUACUUAAUAAUAGUUAUUCUAAGAUGUCGCUCGUGCACUUUUAAUGUAGGCUGCAGUCAUUGUCAUAUACAAAACAGCCUCUAAAUUACUAAAACGUCUUUCAAAGUUCCAAAAAGCGAGUAAGUCUAGUAAAGAAAUCCAUGAAAAAUUUCCCACAAAUCCACGAGAAUUCGUAUUGUAUAUAAUAAAUACGGAUGAACUUUAUAAUUCCUCUAAAUUCUGACAUGCGGCGCCGUUUCUUACAAUUGCAAGUCAAAUAACCAUAUGCAAACAUAUUAUUCAAAUAAUAAAAAAGAUAGCAAAGUUAAAUAUUGGUUAUUGUUCAACUAAAUUUAGAAUAGAGUCACAGGUACAUAGUACGGCAGAAUAUUGAAAACGAAACUGAAAUAUAGUACAUGCGGCAAAAGCCUCGAGCGAAACUUCGUUUGCACGUUUACAAACAAGCAAUACUCAUGCAUUUGAUAUUCUGUACCGCCCGACAUAAUAUAUUUAUCCUUGCCCAUGAGAAAAUUAUUUAAAAAAACAACAAUACAAGUAAAAAGUAAAGAUCGUAACCAUCCAUCACCCCGAAUUUAAUGCGAAACACGUGAAUUUAUAGAGAAACACGUGCGUUGCUUCAUAGCUCGUAUUCCAGCGUGUUCCGGGUGGGGUUCCGGGUGUUCCGGAUGGGGUUCCGGGUGUUCCGGGUAGGGUUCCGGGUGUUCCGGGAGGGGUUCCGGGUGUUCCGGGUAGGGUUCC
rnacentral:lncRNA from 1 species